UACGUAUGGAGCAAGCGUUAUCCGGAUUUACUGGGUGUAAAGGGAGCGUAGGCGGCUCUGUAAGUCUGAUGUGAAAAUUUGGGGCUCAACCCCAAACGUGCAUUGGAAACUGCAGGGCUUGAGUGCCGGAGAGGCAGGCGGAAUUCCUAGUGUAGCGGUGAAAUGCGUAGAUAUUAGGAGGAACGCCAGUGGCGAAGGCGGCCUGCUGGACGGUAACUGACGCUGAGGCUCGAAAGCGUGGGGAGCAAACAGG
rnacentral:rRNA from 1 species